rnacentral:tRNA from 1 species
GCCGAAGUGGCGGAAUCGGCAGACGCGCUGGAUUCAAAAUCCAGUGGGGUAACACCCGUGUGGGUUCGAGUCCCACCUUCGGUA